rnacentral:rRNA from 1 species
GAAAAUAACUAUGAUUCCCUUAGUAACGGCGAGUGAACAGGGAGAAGCCCAAAUUUGUAAUCUGGCACUUUUUACAAGUGUCCGAGUUGUAAUUUGUAGAACUGUUAUCCGUGCUGGACCAUGUACAAGUCUGUUGAAAAGCAGCAUCGUUGAAGGUGAAAAUCCUGUAGAUGAUAUGGACUACCAGUACUCUUGUGAUACGGUUUCUAAGAGUCGAGUUGUUUGGGAAUGCAGCUCAAAGUGGGUGGUAAAUUCCAUCUAAGGCUAAAUAUAAGUGAGAGACCGAUAGCAAACAAGUACCGUGAGGGAAAGAUGAAAAGAACUUUGAAAAUAGAGUUAACAGUACGUGAAAUUGCUGAAAGGUAAACGUUUGAAGUUAGUUUUGUAUUCGUUGGAUCAGCUUCGCAAGGAGUGUAUUCUGAUGAUAAGCAAGUCAACAUCAGUCUAUGAGUGUUGGAGAAGGGUUUUGAGAAUGUAGCAAUUUAAUUGUGUUAUAGCUUGAGACUUGGAUACGAUGCUUUGGAUUGAGGAACGCGUAGUAAGCUUUGAGCGGAUUCGAAAGGAUCUCCUUACUCUGGAUGUUGGUGAAAUAACUUUAAGCGACC